AAAAUACUCCAAAGAUCCUCCUGAUUUCCAAAACUAUCAACUAAUUAUAACUAAUGGAGCAAUUUCCAGAACUGAAUCGUGGGAGAAGAUGAAUGAUGGAGAUUUUAUCAUAAAAAUGAUUGAUUCACACAUCAUUUAUAGAGACUUGUGUAACAGAAAAAAAUCCUUGAAAUAUUUAUAUCAAAUUCAAAAUAUUAUGAAGAACUACAAAUAUUUUUAUUUAGAAGCAAAUCAUAAUGACAUUUUUAAUGAAUGUUUCAAUAAUCUCGAUGAAAAAGCAAAAGAAGCAAAGAAAUCAAAAAAACAA